rnacentral:rRNA from 1 species
GAUGAACGCUGGCGGCGUGCCUAAUACAUGCAAGUCGAGCGAAUGGACUAAGAGCUUGCUCUUAUGAAGUUAGCGGCGGACGGGUGAGUAACACGUGGGUAACCUGCCCAUAAGACUGGGAUAACUCCGGGAAACCGGGGCUAAUACCGGAUAACAUUUUGAACCGCAUGGUUCGAAAUUGAAAGGCGGCUCCGGCUGUCACUUAUGGAUGGACCCGCGUCGCAUUAGCUAGUUGGUGAGGUAAAGGCUAACCAAGGCAACGAUGCGUAGCCGACCUGAGAGGGUGAUCGGCCACACUGGGACUGAGACACGGCCCAGACUCCUACGGGAGGCAGCAGUAGGGAAUCUUCCGCAAUGGACGAAAGUCUGACGGAGCAACGCCGCGUGAGUGAUGAAGGCUUUCGGGUCGUAAAACUCUGUUGUUAGGGAAGAACAAGUGCUAGUUGAAUAAGCUGGCACCUUGACGGUACCUAACCAGAAAGCCACGGCUAACUACGUGCCAGCCGCCGCUGUAA